rnacentral:lncRNA from 1 species
GGUGUGUGCGUGGAACGAUCAGGAAGAAGAACAAGGGUUCAAACCCUUGUUCUUGAUAAAUCUUCAAAUUGAAGGGUGGAAUGAGGUCCAAAUUCACAACUGAACAUGAAUUAACGAUCACCUUCACAAGGGGAUCAUAAGGAAUCAUGUCAAGAUGGAUGGAGCGUUGAAGGCUAACGGACUAAGAAGACUCAACCAAGUAAGCGAACGCAAAUACGGACGCGCAAGGUGAGCUUGUUGGAAAAUGAGGACGUUCUGCAGCUGCGGGCUAGCACGAAGGUUAUGGCUCGUGAUAUGCUAGGAAAAGGGACCCCAGAUAUACAAAUUUUAAAUUUGGUAAGUACCGGUAUGUAGCAUACCCUUAUAUACGAGGGUGAAAUCCUUGAAGGAUUCAUAUGAGUGUGGCACGAACUUAAGACCGGUUCCCUGGACAUAAAGUGCUAAUUCUCAUGAAGGCACGAGACUAGCAUGUGGAUUGCACGCUUGGCCAGUGUGCAAAAAGCAUAGGACGCUCGUGAGGCCAUGAGAAGCAUCACGUGUAUGUCCGGACGAACUGGGAAUAGGGGUCGUGUGGGAGGGAAAGAAAGGGGUCCAACGAUUCUUAAGAUCGGGUUGAACAUGAGAAAGAAAGAAAAGAAUGGAAAAGAAUGAAUGAGAGGUUUGAAUUCGUGAAUGAAUUCAAACAUGAAUGGAAUGCAAGGAAUGGAAGGAAUGAAUGAAGGUUUGAAUCCGGGGGUGAAUAUGGAUC